rnacentral:rRNA from 1 species
AUGUUGAAUUCAAUGUGGUACCUUGUACUCACUCUCUACAUGUCAUCCCAGUCUUGGUAUUCUUGUGGCUUCUUUUGUUUGCUCUGGCUAGUGGAUGUACCUGUGUUAUCUAACCUUGUUUGUGCAGGUUCAUUCCAUCCUAAGCCAACUCAAGACCACAAGGUAAGGAUAUGCAUCAAAAUCAUGAGUAUGAGGAGUUCUUGCUUAUGUACAUACUGUUUGCAAGAAGGACUCAUGAGCAUGAAGGUAUUUUCCUUGAUAAUCUUUUGUUCUGAUGCAUAUGGCCAAGAUGCAUGUAACACAUUGCCUACUCUGUCAUGGUUAUGCUCUCACAUGCCUCUAUAUUUCAUAUCUACAUGA